UACGUAGGGUCCGAGCGUUGUCCGGAAUUACUGGGCGUAAAGAGCUCGUAGGUGGUUUGUCGCGUUGUUCGUGAAAACUCACAGCUUAACUGUGGGCGUGCGGGCGAUACGGGCAGACUUGAGUACUGCAGGGGAGACUGGAAUUCCUGGUGUAGCGGUGAAAUGCGCAGAUAUCAGGAGGAACACCAACGGCGAAGGCAGCUCUCUGGGACGUUACUGACGCUGAGACGCGAAAGCGUGGGGAGCAAACAGG
rnacentral:rRNA from 1 species